rnacentral:rRNA from 1 species
GAUGAACGCUGGCGGCGUGCUUAACACAUGCAAGUCGAACGGUGAAGCUCCAGCUUGCUGGAGUGGAUCAGUGGCGAACGGGUGAGUAACACGUGAGCAACCUGCCCCUGACUCUGGGAUAACAGCCGGAAACGGCUGCUAAUACCGGAUAUGCACCAUGAACGCAUGUUCUGUGGUGGGAAAGAUUUUUCGGUUGGGGAUGGGCUCGCGGCCUAUCAGCUUGUUGGUGAGGUAAUGGCUCACCAAGGCGUCGACGGGUAGCCGGCCUGAGAGGGUGACCGGCCACCCUGGGACUGAGACACGGCCCAGCCUCCUACGGGAGGCAGCAGUGGGGAAUAUUGCACAAUGGGCGGAAGCCUGAUGCAGCAACGCCGCGUGAGGGAUGACGGCCUUCGGGUUGUAAACCUCUUUUAGCAGGGAAGAAGCGAGAGUGACGGUACCUGCAGAAAAAGCGCCGGCUAACUACGUG